AAGCAUGUUUCCAAAGGACUGUGGCUCCGUGUAGCCAUGGGAUCUCCAACUGCAUACCAGAGUAACAAUGGAGAGACUUUGACAUCCCAGGUCAUCACAGUGCCUGCACCUGCCACUCAGCUUUCCUAUAUAU